rnacentral:rRNA from 1 species
CCAGCAGCCGCGGUAUUUCCAGCUCCAAUAGCGUAUACUAAAGUUGUUGCAGUUAAAAAGCUCGUAGUUGGAUUUUUGGGAACUGGUUCAGGUCCGGCUAAGGUCGUGUACUUGAGCUCAGGGCUCUUCUGCCAGAAGAGCGGCGUGUCCGUUAAUUCGGGGGCGUCGGGACUCUGGCCGUUUACUUUGAAAAAAUUAGAGUGUUCAAAGCAGGCAAACGCCGUGAAUACGUUAGCAUGGAAUAAUAAGAUAGGACUGCGGUUCUAUUUUGUUGGUUUCUAGGACCGAAGUAAUGAUUAAUAGGGACAGUUGGGGGCAUUAGUAUUUAAUUGUCAGAGGUGAAAUUCUUGGAUUUAUGAAAGACUAACUACUGCGAAAGCAUUUGCCAAGGAUGUUUUCAUUAAUCAAGAACGAAAGU